rnacentral:rRNA from 1 species
UACGUAGGGUGCAAGCGUUGUCCGGAAUUAUUGGGCGUAAAGAGCUCGUAGGCGGCUUGUCACGUCGACUGUGAAAACCCGGGGCUCAACUCCGGGCCUGCAGUCGAUACGGGCAGACUAGAGUUCGGUAGGGGAGACUGGAAUUCCUGGUGUAGCGGUGAAAUGCGCAGAUAUCAGGAGGAACACCGGUGGCGAAGGCGGGUCUCUGGGCCGAAACUGACGCUGAGGAGCGAAAGCGUGGGGAGCAAACAGG